UACGAAGGGGGCUAGCGUUGUUCGGAUUUACUGGGCGUAAAGCGCACGUAGGCGGAUCUUUAAGUCAGAGGUGAAAUCCCAAGGCUCAACCUUGGAACUGCCUUUGAUACUGGGGAUCUUGAGUCCGGGAGAGGUGAGUGGAACUGCGAGUGUAGAGGUGAAAUUCGUAGAUAUUCGCAAGAACACCAGUGGCGAAGGCGGCUUACUGGCCGUU
rnacentral:rRNA from 1 species